CGUGAAAAGCGGCGCUGGAGAUGGAGGAAAAGGAGCGGGACAUGGGCAGCCGCCGGCAGGCAGCAGUAACCCAAAUCCAGUCAAGCCUGACGGACGAUUGCUCGGAUGAGUGCCGUCAAGGAACCACACGAGCUGUGGAUAACCAAAGACAAAAUAUGCAGCAGUAAAAUGCCAAUUCAGAAGGUCCGGCUGGAACUGGCGUUGUCCAUCUCCAUUGUUUGGUUGUCUAUGGCUCUAUGCCAACAACCACCACGCAGAAGUAGGACAAUCCGGCCGGCAGCCACCAACACAAUGUCCAUCCAUCAAAGGCCUGGAUCAAGUGAACUGUAAGCCUGUUCUCGGCGUUCAGUAGCCUAGCCCUGCGCGAGGCUGCUUCCUUGAUUCUGCCGGAGGACAGGCAUCAAGGCGGCAAUCGAUGGGUGCGUUUCCACGGCUGUCUUAGUUGCACCGUGACCAGGGACGCACUCACGCGCACAGCGGGGGAUCCUUAGUCGCCUUCUAGGCGGGGCACUGCUUGGCCCACGGCGCCAUCCGUAACAUGCCUCUACAGCUCAGGCAUCGAUGAAAGCGAGCCCAACCUCAGGGAGAACCUAGUUGAUCUCUCCCACAGCUCCUUGCCGCCAGCGAUGACACAUGGUUCCUGCGUCCAGUGCCAGUAGCCUCAGAAAAGGAGGGAGGGAAGCGGCUGACUUGGUCGUGCUCUACAAAAUCGGCAGGUCCAAAUCGCGUCAAUCAAGAAUUAGGAGUUGCUGCCCCGUUCAACCUCGUAGCCAUGACCCACCAGCACCACCACACGAUUGCCGUUGCCAAUUCAUGGCGGCAGCGGGGGAAAAGCACCGAAGGGCCGAUGGAGGCGGGGCGGCAGCUCCAGAAGAGCAAAGAAGAGAACAUGGCAAAACAAAAUCGCCGGAGAUGCAGUCGAGAGCUCCUUACCUAGCCUGAAGAGGGCGGCACCACUGUUGCCCGGGCGGCAACCUUCAUGACAUGAAGCAGAGGGCGGCACCGCAGUCGACCACCGCCGUCCAAGGAAGGAGAACCUCACUCUGACUACAGCCGGCAGUUGUGGAGGAGCUCAGCUAGAGACAGAUGAAGGCAAGGGAGAGGUCAGCUAGGGUUCAAAGUGAGCGGUGGUUUGGGGGAGGAAGAGGGACACGGGAAAGAAUUUUAGAGAUUUCUCUAGAGAAGAAAGGAAAGAAAUAUCUGGAGGAAUCCAGAUCCUAA